rnacentral:tRNA from 1 species
GCCCUGAUAGCUUAAUGGUAAAGUAUCUGCCUGCCAAUGCAGGAGACGUGGGUUCGAUCCCUGAGUUGGGACG